GAUGAACGCUGGCGGCGUGCCUAAUACAUGCAAGUCGAGCGAACGGACGAGAAGCUUGCUUCUCUGAUGUUAGCGGCGGACGGGUGAGUAACACGUGGAUAACCUACCUAUAAGACUGGGAUAACUUCGGGAAACCGGAGCUAAUACCGGAUAAUAUUUUGAACCGCAUGGUUCAAAAGUGAAAGACGGUCUUGCUGUCACUUAUAGAUGGAUCCGCGCUGCAUUAGCUAGUUGGUAAGGUAACGGCUUACCAAGGCAACGAUGCAUAGCCGACCUGAGAGGGUGAUCGGCCACACUGGAACUGAGACACGGUCCAGACUCCCACGGGAGGCAGCAGUAGGGAAUCUUCCGCAAUGGGCGAAAGCCUGACGGAGCAACGCCGCGUGAGUGAUGAAGGUCUUCGGAUCGUAAAACUCUGUUAUUAGGGAAGAACAUAUGUGUAAGUAACUGUGCACAUCUUGACGGUACCUAAUCAGAAAGCCACGGCUAACUACGUGCCAGCAGCCGCGGUAAUACGUAGGUGGCAAGCGUUAUCCGGAAUUAUUGGGCGUAAAGCGCGCGUAGGCGGUUUUUUAAGUCUGAUGUGAAAGCCCACGGCUCAACCGUGGAGGGUCAUUGGGAACUGGAAAACUUGAGUGCAGAAGAGGAAAGUGGAAUUCCAUGUGUAGCGGUGAAAUGCGCAGAGAUAUGGAGGAACACCAGUGGCGAAGGCGACUUUCUGGUCUGUAACUGACGCUGAUGUGCGAAAGCGUGGGGAUCAAACAGGAUUAGAUACCCUGGUAGUCCACGCCGUAAACGAUGAGUGCUAAGUGUUAGGGGGUUUCCGCCCCUUAGUGCUGCAGCUAACGCAUUAAGCACUCCGCCUGGGGAGUACGACCGCAAGGUUGAAACUCAAAGGAAUUGACGGGGACCCGCACAAGCGGUGGAGCAUGUGGUUUAAUUCGAAGCAACGCGAAGAACCUUACCAAAUCUUGACAUCCUUUGACAACUCUAGAGAUAGAGCUUUCCCCUUCGGGGGACAAAGUGACAGGUGGUGCAUGGUUGUCGUCAGCUCGUGUCGUGAGAUGUUGGGUUAAGUCCCGCAACGAGCGCAACCCUUAAGCUUAGUUGCCAUCAUUAAGUUGGGCACUCUAAGUUGACUGCCGGUGACAAACCGGAGGAAGGUGGGGAUGACGUCAAAUCAUCAUGCCCCUUAUGAUUUGGGCUACACACGUGCUACAAUGGACAAUACAAAGGGCAGCGAAACCGCGAGGUCAAGCAAAUCCCAUAAAGUUGUUCUCAGUUCGGAUUGUAGUCUGCAACUCGACUACAUGAAGCUGGAAUCGCUAGUAAUCGUAGAUCAGCAUGCUACGGUGAAUACGUUCCCGGGUCU
rnacentral:rRNA from 1 species